CCAGACUCCUACGGGAGGCAGCAGUGGGGAAUAUUGGACAAUGGGGGGAACCCUGAUCCAGCGACGCCGCGUGAGUGAAGAAGUAUUUCGGUAUGUAAAGCUCUAUCAGCAGGGAAGAAAGAAAUGACGGUACCUGACUAAGAAGCCCCGGCUAACUACGUGCCAGCAGCCGCGGUAAUACGUAGGGGGCGAGCGUUAUCCGGAUUCACUGGGUGUAAAGGGAGCGUAGACGGCCAUGCAAGCCAGGGGUGAAAGCCCGGGGCCCAACCCCGGGACUGCCCUUGGAACUGUGCGGCUAGAGUGCGGGAGGGGCAGGCGGAAUUCCUGGUGUAGCGGUGAAAUGCGUAGAUAUCAGGAGGAACACCAGUGGCGAAGGCGGCCUACUGGACGGUGACUGACGCUGAGGCUCGAAAGCGUGGGGAGCAAACAGGAUUAGAUACCCGUGUA
rnacentral:rRNA from 1 species